rnacentral:misc_RNA from 1 species
GAUGAAGAACGCAGCGAAAUGCGAUAAGUAAUGUGAAUUGCAGAAUCCAGUGAAUCAUCGAAUCUUUGAACGCACAUUGCGCCCGCCAGCAUUCUGGCGGGCAUGCCUGUUCGAGCGUCAUUUCAACCCUCGACCUCCCUUUGGGGAAGUCGGCGUUGGGGACCGGCAGCACACCGCCGGCCCUGAAAUGGAGUGGCGGCCCGUCCGCGGCGACCUCUGCGUAGUAAUCCAACUCGCACCGGAACCCCGACGCGGCCACGCCGUAAAACACCCAACUUCUGAACGUUGACCUCGAAUCAGGUAGGACUACACGCUGAACUUAAGCAUAUCAAUAAGCGGAGGA